UAGGGAAUCUUCGGCAAUGGGGGGAACCCUGACCGAGCAACGCCGCGUGAGUGAAGAAGGUUUUCGGAUCGUAAAGCUCUGUUGUUAAGGAAGAACGAGUGUGAGAAUGGAAAGUUCAUACUGUGACGGUACUUAACCAGAAAGGGACGGCUAACUACGUGCCAGCAGCCGCGGUAAUACGUAGGUCCCGAGCGUUGUCCGGAUUUAUUGGGCGUAAAGCGAGCGCAGGCGGUUAGAUAAGUCUGAAGUUAAAGGCAGUGGCUCAACCAUUGUAGGCUUUGGAAACUGUUUAACUUGAGUGCAGAAGGGGAGAGUGGAAUUCCAGGUGUAGCGGUGAAAUGCGUAGUUAUAUGGAGGAACACCGGUGGCGAAAGCGGCUCUCUGGUCUGUAACUGACGCUGAGGCUCGAAAGCGUGGGGAGCGAACAGG
rnacentral:rRNA from 1 species